CGGAUCCGCAUGGAUAUGUUGUUAAAGGUUUACCGCCUUGGGAUAGGCUUGCGUCUGAUUAGCUAGUUGGUGUGGUAAUGGCACACCAAGGCUACGAUCAGUAACUGGUCUGAGAGGAUGAUCAGUCACACUGGAACUGAGACACGGUCCAGACUCCGUACGGGAGGCAGCAGUGAGGAAUAUUGGGCAAUGCACGAAAGUGUGACCCAGCAACGCCGCGUGGAGGAUGAAGGUAUUCUAUAUCGUAAACUCCUGUGAGAGCAGACGAAAGACAGAUUAUUAAUUUGGAUGACUGUAUGCUCAGAGGAAGCCCCGGCUAACUACGUG
rnacentral:rRNA from 1 species